rnacentral:rRNA from 1 species
UACUACGGGUGCAAGCGUUAAUCGGCAUUACUGGGCGUAAAGCGCGCGUAGGUGGUUCGUUCAGUUGGAUGUGAACGCCCCGGGCUCAACCUGGGAACUGCAUCCAAAACUGGCGAGCUAGAGUAUGGCAGAGGGUGGUGGAAUUUCCUGUGUAGCGGUGAAAUGCGUAGAUAUAGGAAGGAAAACCAGUGGCGAAGGCGACCACAUGGGCUAAUAAGGAAACUGAGGUGAGCACGCGUGGGGCGCCCACAGGAUUAGAUACCACGGUAGUCC